UACGGAGGGGGGCGAGCGUUAUUCGGAAUUAUUGGGCGUAAAGGGCGCGUAGGCGGCUGUACAAGUCAAAGGUGAAAUCCCUCGGCUCAACUGAGGAACUGCCUUUGAAACUGUACGGCUUGAGGCCGGGAGGGGGUAGCGGAAUUCCCAGUGUAGCGGUGAAAUGCGUAGAUACUGGGAGGAACACCAGUGGCGAAGGCGGCUACCUGGACCGGUUCUGACGCUGAGGCGCGAAAGCGUGGGGAGCAAACAGG
rnacentral:rRNA from 1 species